ACUUAUGGCUAUACCACCUUGAACAUGUCUGAUAUAGAUUGAUGUCUGAUUUCUAAAGUUAAUCUGGGUGGGGUCUGGUUAGUACUCGCAAGGGAGACUGCUUGGGAAUACUAGGUGUUGUAGACU
rnacentral:rRNA from 1 species